rnacentral:misc_RNA from 1 species
CAUUCGUAACUAUGAAACAGCAUAGAUGAAAAUAUGAAACAUAUAUAAUCUCCAGAACACAAAACAGUAAGUAAAUAAACUGAUCAUACCCUCCUAUGCGCUCUGAUGAUCCAGAUCCUUGGCCAGCUUCCUUUGUCAUGUUGAAGAUGUUUUGGGCAGUCGCGUAGACGCUCCCCAAAAACCUAAUUGCCGAUCCCCCGUGCAAGGUCUCGAACGGCACCGGCUUCGGAGGCACCUGCCCUCUCGCUACUCUGUGCGCGCAGAGUCACGAGAUGGAAAUACCCUCACUCGGCGGCUGGAUUGUGCCUGCCUGCCACGCCACGUCUCGCCACGUCUCGCCCGGCCCGGCCGGCGGCGGCGGCGCGCGCGCGCGUGUGGCACGCCCUUGUCCAUUUCUUGACUUCUCAAGUUAAGUGGAAUAAAUCCCACCAUAUAAGUCAAGGCAAAAGACCCUUGGACUUCCAAUGUGGUACUAUUAGUAUUCUCCACCAUUACACACCAUAGAGUUUAUUCAAUAAAUGGGUCAAGCCCAUAAAAGAUCUAACACGCUCUCCCAUGGGAGAUACAGGGAGAUGGGAAAUCGAGUUGAAGGGAGCUCCGGUCGGGUUGGGGAUUGGGCGAGCUGCACGGCCGGGAGCUCCAUGGCUGGGAGAAGGAGCGCUCGGCUGGCCAGACUGGAAAAGAGAAGAACAGGGGCGCCAUGGCUGGAUGCGAGCAAGAGCAGAGAGAGAGAGCUCAGCUGGGAGAAUGACGACGGUAAAAAUCCCAGCAGCAGAUAAGAAGAGACGGCAGAAAUUUCAACAGAAGAACAGCGGCGGGAUUUUCUUUUGCUUUCCAGAAUACAGCGACGCGGCAUAUCAGAUGGAAGAGAGAAAGCGGUGGAGAGAUAAGGCGAGGGAAGGAAGAUGUACGUAUGGGAUAUUUGAAGAAGAGCUGGACGUGCAAGCGGUGGAAAAAUCUCCAGGAGAUCUUGCGCGCUAGAUGAGGUUGAGCGGCCAGCAACUUCAACAAAAAUCAGAGCGAUGAAAUAUCAGAGUGGAGGAUAGGAACGCAGAGAAGAUUUUCCUUCCGUGCGUGGAUGAGAACGAAGACUAGAAAAAACUACGUAGCGUA